CUGCACGUUGGAAAGAAAACGCCGACCAACGGCGUGGUUAUAAAGUUUCCACGAGUGGCUGCUAACGACACUUGCUGGAACACACCAAUCUUGGAGCUCGCCAGAAACACCUGAUUGCAUGACAAAAGGUGAUUUAAACCAACAAUGGCAUCCCGCACGUUCCUGCUGAUCCUGUCCGUUGCCACUUUAAUGGUGGUUGCGCUUAGCGCUGGGAACGAGGACGACACCGAGGCGCUCUUUGAGCUGUACGAGGCAAUGGCGAAGAGGGGGCGAGGAGGAUCCUCAAGAAAAUGUUAUCACGAGGGGAUGACGUGCCUAUGCGACUAUCGGUUAGGUCCAAAUGAUCCCCAACGUUACACGAACUGUGUGCAUUAUUAGCAUAAAAGAGGAAAGAACGACCGUGACAACAACAACACGCACUCGCUGCAAAACAUUGGUUUAAUCUACGGCGUGUCCAAAUAAACAUUGUGCAUGAAGAAACGGCUCUAUUUCUCACAAAAUUAGUGACGUUGAUUUAGUUAUUUUAAGAAUUGCUAGGCGCGAAGUCAUAUUCAUAACUGCAUGGUGAAAUCCCCACGAUAAUCUGUCGAUGCUAGCUUGACUUGAUAGAGGCCUUUGUAAAACUGAUUUUGCUCCAUUCAAAAAAACUGAACAUUGUCCGGUCAGCUGUCAAAAGGUAUUUUGUGCCUUCAAAACCAAUUUGUAAGACUUAGCACCUGACACUAAACAUUCCUAUUGUACAGCAGUAUUUGCUGUGCCACCAAAACCCUUUAUUGUGUGAUAUCCAUCCAAUGGGGGAAAAUGAAUAGUAUUUUAAGAGCUGUGAUAUAUCUGGUUUUCAUUCACGGUUUUCAUGGGAAUUUGAGUAGUUGAAGACAUGAUUAUAUACUUUGCAGAGCUUUAAAAAUUGAAAAUCUAUUAUUCCUAUUUUUGUGAUGAAUUUAAUGAUUUUUUCAUGCAGAAUGUGUAUUGGGACACGAUGUAUUCCGGAAAAUACCCGAAGACACAAAAAUGACGGCUGACAGGUUGCAUGUUAUUUAAUUCAUUUACAGAAGAAAAGAAAGUUAUAAUUUCAGGUGGAUGGUGGGACAUUAUUUCGUUUCCAUUAUUAGUUUUCUCUUGGUGUUGGUGUUUUGUUCUUUCACGUUGGUUUGAAUUGUAUUGAUAAACAUGUGGCCUUGGAAAAAAUAACAUGUUAUUAAAAA